CUUAACUGUAUGAACUCAGAACACGAAUAAAUGAAUUCCAGAUGAGAGAUCUGCAUACCAGGAGUGCAGCCUGUGUCUUCAUUCUCUUUUCCGGAAGAAGAAGAAUGGAUGACCCAACAAUUAGGACCUAGGCAUCUGGCAGGUGAGGGACGCCUUUGGUAGGAGCUCUCCUCUUUCUGGGGCAUGUGCAGUGUGUCACUAAGGAUAUAGUUACAAGGGCUGAUGGCUUUGGCCUGAACUCUGCUCAAGGUCAGGUUUGCCCACCCUUUGACACUGUUUAGAAGAGACUGUGCCAUCAUCCCUGCCAAGCAGAGGAAAGUCAAGAGGCACUGGAGGCCAAUAAAGGACAAUGAAUCAGCCAUGCCACAGAGUGAACCUUGUUCUUUAGCAGAGCUGGAUUUCACCAGCACAAUAGCUAGAUUACACAGCCAUUUCCUCCAAUUACCUUCUCUGUCAAAUCUCUCUGUCAUCUGGCACUAGGAAAGUUUGGUUUAAAAUUCAUUGUGAAUCAGGGCAGUGACACCAGAGAUUUCUAAAUUAAUAUCCUGCCAGCAGGAAUUGAACUUGUUUUUUCCAGUUGUGUCAGUUCUGAUUCUGUUGCUUGUCAGAGAAAACUUUGGCUUGCCAUCUGGUCUCAACCCAGCACUGUGAACUUGCUGCGCUGUGGUGGCCUGGUGAUGCUUUUGCACUGGGCCCUUGUUGUCAUCUGGUAAAUGAAAAGCAGGAGAUCAUGGGCACAGGGUGCACUGUGUGAAGGAAAGAGAAGACACGACCUCUUCCCUGAAACAGUGGAAAUAUGCAUGCUUUUGCAAGUGGGGAUGACUAUGGGACAGAGAUCUUCACGGCUGUUAAAUGAAAUACUGCAGACCCACGAGGUGUUCAGAAGAUGUGAAGGAGAUGCUGCAUGUCCUGAAGCUGGCCUGGUGGAGCUGAGAGCAGCGUGCGGGGAUGGAUGGACCCAGUGCUGCUGA
rnacentral:lncRNA from 1 species